AGUAAUCAAUAAUCGUGACUUCAUUUACUACAGUACUUAGCUGUGUCGUUUAUAUUACUCACAACAUUUACCAAUCAUUUUAACGCAAACUAAUAGCCAGAUACUCGGUCAGUACGUGUGAGUAUUGUCGCGAAGCUGCAGGAUCCGAUUCUCGGACGACGACGGCAUCGUCGGCAUGGCAGGAAGCCAGAGGAAGGGGACGCGACGGCGGUCUCCUGAUCGCAACGAGUCUGCCUCAAGGCUCGCCUGAAGCAGACACCGCAGCUGCCGCGGCAUGUGCGGCCACUGUCGCAUGAAUGGUGUGGCGCACGUCGAUGUUCCUUGUUCUUCGCCAUCGUUCGUCUCCGAUAGAUCCCAGCCACAGGCCACAGGCCACAGGCGCCGGAGGAGGACAUCGAUGUCGCUGUUGAGAGUUGAGACAAUGGAGACGACCAACCGAAUUUGGCAGCUGGGCUGGCAGCGGAUCGCCCGAAGGCCUGCUUUCUUUCAUUCUUCACGCCCGCGAAUCCACCGCAUAGAGGACUGUUCGCUCGCUCGGGCGCGCUGGGCCUGGACACAUCCGCCCGCGGGCCGUUUCGAAGCAAUGAGAGGAAUUUGCCUGUCGUUCAAUUUGGUGACCACACUCGGUUGGCCGGAAACCACUGCAAUGUCCGACUCGACUGUACUACUCAGUGAGGAGAAAGAACAAUAGGAACACGAGCGAUUAUAACGGGAUUAAUUUUUGCCUAUUUUUUUUGGUUGAGGAUGGUAUACGUGUUUACAUACGUCCCGAUCGACUUGUAUAAUGUUUAUUUUCAUUCAGCAAACUGCAUAUAGAGCACGUAAGAUGAUAAAUCAAUAAUACAUUACCUGAAAUCGAUCAGAGUCAGACAAGCAAGUUGAGUUG
rnacentral:lncRNA from 1 species